CCCUUCGAUGUUCGGAGCUGCACGCGCGCUACACUGUGGGUGGCAGCAUGUUAGCUUGCCUCGCUCGCAAGAGUGGGGUAAUCGUUUGAAAAUCCCACGUGAUUGGGAUAGGGACUUGUAAUUAUUUCCCUUGAACGAGGAAUCCCUAGUAAGUGCAGGUCAUCAGCUUGCGCUGAUUACGUCCCUGCCCUUUGUACACACCGCCCGUCGCUCCUACCGAUUGAAUGGUCCGGUGAGUUGUCAGGAUGAGACGCUUUUGGCGGGCAACUGCGAGAAGCGACUCAGAAUCUCAGCAAACCUUAUCAUUUAGAGGAAGGAGAAGUCGUAACA
rnacentral:rRNA from 1 species